rnacentral:rRNA from 1 species
AUUGAACGCUGGCGGCAGGCCUAACACAUGCAAGUCGAGCGAGCGGCGGACGGGUGAGUAAUGUAUGGGGACUGCCCGAUAGAGGGGGAUAACUACUGGAAACGGUGGCUAAUACCGCAUACUAUCGGAUAACCCAUAUGGGAUUAGCUAGUAGGUGGGGUAAAGGCUCACAAAGGCUACGAUCUCUAGCUGGUCUGAGAGGAUGAGCAGCCGUACUGUGACUGAGACACGGCCCAGCCUCCUACGGAGGCAGCAGUGGGCAAUAUUGCCCAAUGGGCGCAAUCCUGAUGCAGCCCUGCCGAGUGUAUUAAGAAGCCCUUAGGGUUGUAAAGUACUUUCAGCGGGGAGGCGUUACCCGCAGAAGAAGCACCGGCUAACUCCGUGCGAGCAGCCGCGGUAAUAC